rnacentral:ncRNA from 1 species
UAAAGGCAUGGUCCCGACCUUAUUAUCAGCUUUAACCCAACUUACACAUGCAAGUCUCCGCAGCCCCGUGAGUAAGCCCUCAGUCCCCCCCCCUGGGGACAAGGAGCGGGCAUCAGGCACAAAUUUUUAGCCCAAGACGCCUGGCCAAGCCACACCCCCAAGGGAAUCCAGCAGUGAUAAACAUUAAGCCAUAAGUGAAAACUUGACUCAGUCAGGGCUAAGAGGGCCGGUAAAACUCGUGCCAGCCACCGCGGUUAAACGAGAGGCCCAAGUUGAUAACAUUACGGCGUAAAGGGUGGUUAUGGAAAGCAACAAAAUAAAGCCAAAUGGCCCUUUGGCCGUCAUACGCUUCUAGGUGUCCGAAGCCCAAUCACACGAAAGUAGCUUUAAUAAAGCCCAUCUGACCCCACGAAAGCUGAGAAACAAACUGGGAUUAGAUACCCCACUAUGCUCAGCCAUAAACCCAGACAUCCAACUACAAUAAGACGUUCGCCCGGGUACUACGAGCAUCAGCUUGAAACCCAAAGGACCUGACGGUGCCUUAGACCCCCCUAGAGGAGCCUGUUCUAGAACCGAUAACCCCCGUUAAACCUCACCAAUUCUAGCCAUCCCAGCCUAUAUACCGCCGUCGUCAGCUUACCCUGUGAAGGGUAUAAAAGUAAGCAAAAUGGGCACAACCCAGAACGUCAGGUCGAGGUGUAGCGUACGAAUUGGAAAGAAAUGGGCUACAUUUUCUAUUAUAGAAUACUACGAACAUGCAACAUGAAAUAGUGCUUGAAGGAGGAUUUAGUAGUAAAAAGGAAGCAGAGUGUCCUUUUGAACCCGGCUCUGAGGCGCGUACACACCGCCCGUCACUCUCCCCUGUCAAAACGCAGUAAAAAUUCCUAAUGCCAAAGCACUGACAAGGGGAGGCAAGUCGUAACAUGGUAAGUGUACCGGAAGGUGCACUUGGAUUAAACC